rnacentral:rRNA from 1 species
CUAGCUUGCUAAUAAUUCUCUAGUGGCGCACGGGCGAUUAACACGUGAGUAACCUGCCCCCGAGAGCGGGAUAGCCCUGGGAAACUGGGAUUAAUACCGCAUAGUAUCGAAAGAUUAAAGCAGCAAUGCGCUUGGGGAUGGGCUCGCGGCCUAUUAGUUAGUUGGUGAGGUAACGGCUCACCAAGGCGAUGACGGGUGGCCGGUCUGAGAGGAUGUCCGGCCACACUGGAACUGAGACACGGUCCAGACACCUACGGGUGGCAGCAGUCGAGAAUCAUUCACAAUGGGGGAAACCCUGAUGGUGCGACGCCGCGUGGGGGAAUGAAGGUCUUCGGAUUGUAAACCCCUGUCAUGUGGGAGCAAAUUAAAAAGAUAAUACCACAAGAGGAAGAGACGGCUAACUCUGUGCCAGCAGCCGCGGUAAUACAGAGGUCUCAAGCGUUGUUCGGAAUCACUGGGCGUAAAGCGUGCGUAGGCUGUUUCGUAAGUCGUGUGUGAAAGGCGCGGGCUCAACCCGCGGACGGCACAUGAUACUGCGAGACUAGAGUAAUGGAGGGGGAACCGGAAUUCUCGGUGUAGCAGUGAAAUGCGUAGAUAUCGAGAGGAACACUCGUGGCGAAGGCGGGUUCCUGGACAUUAACUGACGCUGAGGCACGAAGGCCAGGGGAGCGAAAGGGAUUAGAUACCCCUGUAGUCCUGGCAGUAAACGGUGCACGCUUGGUGUGCGGGGAAUCGACCCCCUGCGUG